rnacentral:rRNA from 1 species
GACGAACGCUGGCGGCGUGCUUAACACAUGCAAGUCGAACGAAGUGGCGAACGGGUGAGUAACGCGUAAUCAACCUGCCCUUCAGAGGGGGACAACAGUUGGAAACGACUGCUAAUACCGCAUACUGAAGGUGGGGAUUGCGUCUGAUUAGCUAGUUGGUGGGGUAAAGGCCUACCAAGGCGACGAUCCGUAACUGAUCUGAGAGGAUGAGCAGUCACACUGAGAGUGAGACACGGUCCAAGAUCCUACAGGAGGCAGCAGUGGGGAAUAUUGGACAAUGGGCGAAAGCCUGAUCCAGCCAUGCCGCGUGUGUGAAGAAGGUCUUCGGAUUGUAAAGCAAUUUAGGUUGGGAGGCGUUACCAACAGAAUAAGCACCGGCUAACUUCGUGCCAGCAGCCGCGGUAAUAC